rnacentral:rRNA from 1 species
AGAGUUUGAUCAUGGCUCAGAAUCAACGCUGGCGGCGCGCUUAACACAUGCAAGUCGAACGGGAAAGUGGAGCAAUCCAUGAGUACAGUGGCGUACGGGUGAGUAACACGUGGGUAAUCUACCUCUUAGUGGGGAAUAACCCUGGGAAACCGGGGCUAAUACCGCAUAAGCUCGAGAGAGGAAAGUCGCAAGACGCUGAGAGAGGAGCCCGCGGCCGAUUAGCUAGUUGGGAGGGUAAGAGCCUACCAAGGCAGAGAUCGGUAGCCGGCCUGAGAGGGCACACGGCCACACUGGCACUGAAACACGGGCCAGACUCCUACGGGAGGCAGCAGUGGGGAAUCUUGCACAAUGGGGGAAACCCUGAUGCAGCGACGCCGCGUGAGCGAUGAAGCCUUCGGGGUGUAAAGCUCUUUCGUCAGGGAAGAUUAUGACGGUACCUGGAGAAGCAGCUGCGGCUAACUACGUGCCAGCAGCCGCGGUAAUACGUAGGCAGCGAGCGUUGUUCGGAGUUACUGGGCGUAAAGGGUGUGUAGGCGGUUCUUUAAGUUUGGUGUGAAAUCUCCCGGCUUAACCGGGAGGGUGCGCCGAAUACUGAGGGACUAGAGUGCGGGAGAGGAAAGUGGAAUUCCUGGUGUAGCGGUGAAAUGCGUAGAUAUCAGGAGGAACACCGGUGGUGUAGACGGCUUUCUGGACCGUAACUGACGCUGAGACACGAAAGCGUGGGUAGCAAACAGGAUUAGAUACCCUAGUAGUCC